AUGAUAUUCAGUGAUGAUAAGAUGUUGGGGUCUGGAAGCUUUGGAAAAGUUUUCAAGGGACAACUGAGCAACGGUUUGAUGGUUGCAAUAAAAGUCCUAGACAUGCAGCUGGAGCAGGCUAUCAGAAGCUUCAAUACUGAGUGUGGUGUAUUGCGCAUGGCACGACACCGCAACCUCAUAAGGAUACUCAACACCUGUUCCAACUUGGACUUCAGAGCACUUGUGUUGCCGUACAUGCCUAAUGGUAGUUUGGAGAUGCUCCUACACUACCCUCAAGGCUCAACAUAUUUGGGGUUCCUUGAGAGGCUAGGCAUCAUGCUUGAAGUGGCACUGGCAAUGCAGUACCUGCACCAUGAACACCAUGAGGUGGUCUUGCACUGUGACUUGAAGCCUAGCAACGUGUUGUUCGAUGAGCACAUGACGACACAUGUGGCAGACUUUGGCAUCGCAAGGUUGCUACUCUGGGAUGACACCUCUGUGAUCUCUGCCAGCAUGCCUGGGACAAUUGGCUACAUGGCACCAGAGUACGGGUCCCUUGGAAAAGCAUCACGGAAGGCUGAUGUGUUCAGCUAUGGGGUCAUGCUCCUUGAAGUCUUCACUAGAAAGAGACCAACCGAUGCCUUUUUCAAUGGAGAUCUAAGCCUUAGGCAAUGGGUUUUUGAAGCGUUUCCUGCGGAACUCGUCCAUGUUAUAGAUGUCCAUCUACUCCAAGGCGCUUCUGGCUGCAGCUUUGAAGGGUUUCUAGCGCCAGUAUUCGAGCUGGGUUUGCGCUGCACCAGCUUCGCACCUGACGACAGGAUGACGAUGAGCGAUGUGGUUGUGAUGCUGGAGAAAAUAAAAAAGGAAUAUGCUAAAUCAGCACUUGAACAGAGUCAUGCAUCCGAAUGA
rnacentral:rRNA from 1 species